AGCUUUGUGCAGUGGCAGUAUCAUAGCCAAUGAGGUUUAUCUGAAGCACGAUUAUUACUAAUUGAAAACAGAAUGUGCAUAAAUAACAAGUCAGUUAUUCCUCCAGGAAGAUCUCCCAAGGAAUCAAGGGUAGCCUUAUCUUUGAAAUAUCUCCGCAGUCAUCUGUAGGGUACAUAAUCUACAGCUGGAGAU
rnacentral:snRNA from 1 species